UAGGAAGUAGUGUAGUGGAUGGCACGAAGGGUUUUGAUCUCUUAUGUGCAGGUUCAAGUCCUGUCUUUCUAG
rnacentral:tRNA from 1 species